rnacentral:rRNA from 1 species
GUCGAUAUGGGUCUCCGAGUCGGGUGGUGCCGCCUCACGGUGGCUUCACUGCCUCUAUCUGGACAAUUCAUUGGAUCGUUCGGGGUGCUCUUAACCGAGUGUCCUGGGUGGCCAAUCACGUUUACUUUGAUAACAAAUUAAGUGCUUAAAGCAGUGCACCGCGCCUGAAUAUCACAGCAUGGAAUGAUGGAAUAGGACCUCGGUCUUAUUAUGUUGGUUUUCUGGACUUGAGGUAAUGGUUAACAGAGACAGACGGGGGCAUUCGUACUGCGACGCUAAGGUGAAAUUCUUGGACCGUCGCAAGACGAACAACUGCGAAAGCAUUUGCCAAGAAUGUUUUCAUUAAUCAAGAACGAAAGUUAGAGGUUCGAAGGCGAUCAGAUACCGCCCUAGUUCUAACCAUAAACGAUGCCAACCA